rnacentral:tRNA from 1 species
CCGACCUUAGCUCAGUUGGAAGAGCGCCAGGCUGUAAUUGGAUACCUAAGGAUACCUGAAUGUCGCCUGUUCGAGCCAGGCAGGUCGGA